AGCAGGUCAUGAAAGAAGCACUACCGUCCUCUGCUCUUCAUGCCAAGCUACAGCAGAGAAGGUCAGUGCUUAAUUAUGAUCUACU
ensembl:miRNA aca-mir-5432 aca-mir-5432